GGAAACAGGUGCUAAUACCGUAUAACAAGCGAAACCGCAUGGUUUUGAUUUGAAAGGCGCUUUCGGGUGUCGCUGAUGGAUGGACCCGCGGUGCAUUAGCUAGUUGGUGAGGUAACGGCUCACCAAGGCCACGAUGCAUAGCCGACCUGAGAGGGUGAUCGGCCACAUUGGGACUGAGACACGGCCCAAACUCCUACGGGAGGCAGCAGUAGGGAAUCUUCGGCA
rnacentral:rRNA from 1 species